AAGACUAUGCUUUCAGGGACCAUUUCUAUAGUUUCUGACUUGAGAAAUGUGUUUCUAAAGGGUUUGGUCUUGCUGGCCGCAAUGAUGAGUUGUGAUGUUCUUUUUUUUGAGCAAGAAGAUAGAGGGUAAUGAUUCACUUCAUAUGCUCUCUAUCAGUGAUAACCGUUUGUUGCUACUUUAGGGAGUGAUGAGGAAGGGAACAUGGACUGAGUGGA